GAUGAACGCUGGCGGCGUGCCUAAUACAUGCAAGUCGAGCGAACAGACGAGGAGCUUGCUCCUCUGACGUUAGCGGCGGACGGGUGAGUAACACGUGGAUAACCUACCUAUAAGACUGGGAUGACUUCGGGAAACCGGAGCUACUACCAGAUCAUAUAUUGAACCGCAUGGUUCAAUAGUGAAAGACGGCUUUGCUGUCACUUAUAGAUGGAUCCGCGUCGCAUUAGCUAGUUGGUAAGGUAACGGCUUACCAAGGCAACGAUGCGUAGCCGACCUGAGAGGGUGAUCGGCCACACUGGAACUGAGACACGGUCCAGACUCCUACGGGAGGCAGCAGUAGGGAAUAUUCCGCAAUGGGCGAAAGCCUGACGGAGCAACGCCGCGUGAGUGAUGAAGGUCUUCGGAUCGUAAAACUCUGUUAUUAGGGAAGAACAAAUGUGUAAGUAACUAUGCACGUCUUGACGGUACCUAAUCAGAAAGCCACGGCUAACUACGUG
rnacentral:rRNA from 1 species